GGGAGAAGCCCAUAUUCUGCGCCGGCUGCAAAUAGAAAAGUGAAUGAAAUAGCAACAGAGAUAGAAAAGGGAGCCUGGGGAUGCAACAAUUACUGUAUGGAGGAGGCGCAGCGCCGGUCCAGCUUGUUUAAAUGUGAAAUAGUUGGUAGAUUUAGAAUUCUAAGUAUUUUUCUCCUGACCGUGGCAAACAAAAAUGGUUCCACUAGCGUGCCAGUCAGUAGAAUAGAAAAUAUUUGGGAGCAGGAAAUGAAGAGGGAGGAAGAAAAAGCAGGUGGGGUGGGGCGGAAGGCGAGAGAGACCAGACAGAACCUGGCCAAGACAAAGAAUGAAAGGGAACAGGCAGGAGCUGCGCCGUGGAUCAAAUGUACUCAGUAAUUGCAGAGUCACUGCUACCCUCUUACCUCUAAACAGAGCAGAUUAAAAUAGCAUGAACAGCUAUAAUAACAGGUUUGGGAUUCAGCGUUUUACAGCCAGAAAAAUGCUUAUGGAAAUAAGGAUUUUGCUGACUCUUUUCAAAGUGAAGUAAAGAAGAGAGAAAUAGGUAGUCCUGGAGUCAGAGAAUGAACAGUGUAGACCUCGGC
rnacentral:lncRNA from 1 species